rnacentral:rRNA from 1 species
GUGCCAGCCGCCGCGGUAAUACGUAGGUGGCAAGCGUUGUCCGGAUUUAUUGGGCGUAAAGCGAGCGCAGGCGGUUUCUUAAGUCUGAUGUGAAAGCCCCCGGCUCAACCGGGGAGGGUCAUUGGAAACUGGGAGACUUGAGUGCAGAAGAGGAGAGUGGAAUUCCAUGUGUAGCGGUGAAAUGCGUAGAUAUAUGGAGGAACACCAGUGGCGAAGGCGGCUCUCUGGUCUGUAACUGACGCUGAGGCUCGAAAGCGUGGGGAGCGAACAGGAUUAGAUACCCUGGUAGUCCACGCCGUAAACGAUGAGUGCUAAGUGUUGGAGGGUUUCCGCCCUUCAGUGCUGCAGCAAACGCAUUAAGCACUCCGCCUGGGGAGUACGACCGCAAGGUUGAAACUCAAAGGAAUUGACGGGGGCCCGCACAAGCGGUGGAGCAUGUGGUUUAAUUCGAAGCAACGCGAAGAACCUUACCAGGUCUUGACAUCCUUUGACCACUCUAGAGAUAGAGCUUCCCCUUCGGGGGCAAAGUGACAGGUGGUGCAUGGUUGUCGUCAGCUCGUGUCGUGAGAUGUUGGGUUAAGUCCCGCAACGAGCGCAACCCUUAUUGUUAGUUGCCAUCAUUUAGUUGGGCACUCUAGCGAGACUGCCGGUGACAAACCGGAGGAAGGUGGGGAUGACGUCAAAUCAUCAUGCCCCUUAUGACCUGGGCUACA